UAGGGAAUCUUCCGCAAUGGACGCAAGUCUGACGGAGCAACGCCGCGUGAGUGAAGAAGGAUUUCGGUUCGUAAAACUCUGUUGUUAGAGAAGAACAGCGCAUAGAGUAACUGUUAUGCGUGUGACGGUAUCUAACCAGAAAGCCACGGCUAACUACGUGCCAGCAGCCGCGGUAAUACGUAGGUGGCAAGCGUUGUCCGGAUUUAUUGGGCGUAAAGCGAGCGCAGGCGGUCAAUUAAGUCUGAUGUGAAAGCACCCGGCUCAACCGGGGAGGGUCAUUGGAAACUGGUUGACUUGAGUGCAGAAGAUGAGAGUGGAAUUCCAUGUGUAGCGGUGAAAUCCGUAGAUAUAUGGAGGAACACCAGUGGCGAAGGCGACUCUCUGGUCUGUAACUGACGCUGAGGCUCGAAAGCGUGGGUAGCAAACAGG
rnacentral:rRNA from 1 species